AGAGUUUGAUCCUGGCUCAGGAUGAACGCUGGCGGCGUGCUUAACACAUGCAAGUCGAACGAAGCACUUUGAUCGAUUUCUUCGGAUUGAAAUUUUAGUGACUGAGUGGCGGACGGGUGAGUAACGCGUGGGUAACCUGCCUCACACAGGGGGAUAACAGUUGGAAACGGCUGCUAAUACCGCAUAAGCGCACAGUACCGCAUGGUACAGUGUGAAAAACUCCGGUGGUGUGAGAUGGACCCGCGUCUGAUUAGCUAGUUGGCAGGGCAACGGCCUACCAAGGCGACGAUCAGUAGCCGACCUGAGAGGGUGACCGGCCACAUUGGGACUGAGACACGGCCCAGACUCCUACGGGAGGCAGCAGUGGGGAAUAUUGCACAAUGGGGGAAACCCUGAUGCAGCGACGCCGCGUGGAGGAAGAAGGUCUUCGGAUUGUAAACUCCUGUUGUUGAGGAAGAUAAUGACGGUACUCAACAAGGAAGUGACGGCUAACUACGUGCCAGCAGCCGCGGUAAAACGUAGGUCACAAGCGUUGUCCGGAAUUACUGGGUGUAAAGGGAGCGCAGGCGGGAAGGCAAGUUGGAAGUGAAAUCCAUGGGCUCAACCCAUGAACUGCUUUCAAAACUGUUUUUCUUGAGUAGUGCAGAGGUAGGCGGAAUUCCCGGUGUAGCGGUGGAAUGCGUAGAUAUCGGGAGGAACACCAGUGGCGAAGGCGGCCUACUGGGCACCAACUGACGCUGAGGCUCGAAAGUGUGGGUAGCAAACAGGAUUAGAUACCCUGGUAGUCCACACCGUAAACGAUGAUUACUAGGUGUUGGAGGAUUGACCCCUUCAGUGCCGCAGUUAACACAAUAAGUAAUCCACCUGGGGAGUACGACCGCAAGGUUGAAACUCAAAGGAAUUGACGGGGGCCCGCACAAGCAGUGGAGUAUGUGGUUUAAUUCGAAGCAACGCGAAGAACCUUACCAGGUCUUGACAUCCGAUGCAUAGUGCAGAGAUGCAUGAAGUCCUUCGGGACAUCGAGACAGGUGGUGCAUGGUUGUCGUCAGCUCGUGUCGUGAGAUGUUGGGUUAAGUCC
rnacentral:rRNA from 1 species